AUUGAACGCUGGCGGCAGGCCUAACACAUGCAAGUCGAACGGUAACAGGAAGCAGCUUGCUGCUUCGCUGACGAGUGGCGGACGGGUGAGUAAUGUCUGGGAAGCUGCCUGAUGGAGGGGGAUAACUACUGGAAACGGUAGCUAAUACCGCAUAAUGUCGCAAGACCAAAGAGGGGGACCUUCGGGCCUCUUGCCAUCGGAUGUGCCCAGAUGGGAUUAGCUUGUUGGUGGGGUAACGGCUCACCAAGGCGACGAUCCCUAGCUGGUCUGAGAGGAUGACCAGCCACCCUGGGACUGAGCCACGGUCCAGACUCCUACGGGAGGCAGCAGUGGGGAAUAUUGCACAAUGGGCGCAAGCCUGAUGCAGCCAUGCCGCGUGUAUGAAGAAGGCCUUCGGGUUGUAAAGUACUUUCAGCGGGGAGGAAGGGAGUAAAGUUAAUACCUUUGCUCAUUGACGUUACCCGCAGAAGAAGCACCCGCUAACUCCGUG
rnacentral:rRNA from 1 species